rnacentral:rRNA from 1 species
AUUGAACGCUGGCGGCAUGCCUUACACAUGCAAGUCGAACGGUAACGCGGGGCAACCUGGCGACGAGUGGCGAACGGGUGAGUAAUACAUCGGAACGUGCCCAGUAGUGGGGGAUAGCCCGGCGAAAGCCGGAUUAAUACCGCAUACGACCUACGGGUGAAAGCGGGGGAUCGCAAGACCUCGCGCUAUUGGAGCGGCCGAUGUCAGAUUAGCUAGUUGGUGGGGUAAAAGCCUACCAAGGCGACGAUCUGUAGCUGGUCUGAGAGGACGACCAGCCACACUGGGACUGAGACACGGCCCAGACUCCUACGGGAGGCAGCAGUGGGGAAUUUUGGGACAAUGGGGGCAACCCUGAUCCAGCCAUGCCGCGUGCGGGAAGAAGGCCUGGUGUAACGC